AAAAAUAACUUAGAACCCUCCCUCCCUCAGCCGAAUAGUGUGGGUAACAGAUCAAGUCAGCAACAUAAUCAAAGCCCUGGAACCAUAUAGGUUACUUUCUUGUCUCAAUCACCUAAUUAAUACCGUCCUUUGCCACGGUCUACAUUCUGACACACUGGAC